rnacentral:rRNA from 1 species
UGGGGAAUAUUGCACAAUGGGCGCAAGCCUGAUGCAGCCAUGCCGCGUGUAUGAAGAAGGCCUUCGGGUUGUAAAGUACUUUCAGCGGGGAGGAAGGUGUUGAGGCUAAUAACCUCAGCAAUUGACGUUACCCGCAGAAGAAGCACCGGCUAACUCCGUGCCAGCAGCCGCGGUAAUACGGAGGGUGCAAGCGUUAAUCGGAAUUACUGGGCGUAAAGCGCACGCAGGCGGUGUGUCAAGUCGGAGGUGAAAUCCCCGGGCUCAACCUGGGAACUGCAUUCGAAACUGGCAGGCUAGAGUCUUGUAGAGGGGGGUAGAAUUCCAGGUGUAGCGGUGAAAUGCGUAGAGAUCUGGAGGAAUACCGGUGGCGAAGGCGGCCCCCUGGACAAAGACUGACGCUCAGGUGCGAAAGCGUGGGGAGCAAACA